CUUCCUUUGGUAACCAGAGGACGACUGUGAGCGGGUGAUUAACAGUACCAUUGUCCGUAAUGCCGCUGGCGAAACACAGAUUGCGCCACCGCUACUGACACACGAGGAGUAGCUGGGAAGUAAUUGUUCAUUUUGAGAAAGUACAGAUAACAAGGGAGCUGUAAAAUGCCCUGAGACCUACACGUGGCAUUCCCUAUGAAACGAGCACAUCUCUUUCCUUAGUUACAUAAGAACAUAAGGGAAGCUACAAGAAGCCAUCAGACCAACACGCGGCAGUCCCUGUACGAAACAAGCUUACCUGUUCGCUCCAAUCAUCCCCAUUCAUAAAAAUCCCUCUGAUAUUUUAAAGCUCCGUAUUGACUCAGCACCAACAACCUGAUUACUGAGUCUGCCUAUCACUCAACACCUUUAACGACUGUAGCCUCUUUCCCUCCCCCCUCCCUAACUAUGAGUCGUUUGAGGCAAGGUGGGCUAAGGAGGCGAGAGCGUGUGCCUCACUCUGGCCGGAACAGCUGAUUAGGACAACAUCGUGGUGCCGGGGCAGUGCUGCGGACGGACGGUGGCAAGAUGAGGUUCGUGUUGGUGGUGGUGGUGUUUGUGGUGGUGCGUCUCUGCUGCGCCCAGGGACUCGUGAUAGUCGGCGACCUGCCUAACCGGGGCCUCUGUCGUGCUUGUUUCCUCCACCCUGUCCUGGAAGACGCUGAAACUACCGAUGAUGAGGGUAGUGAGAUUUACGACUCCGAUUAUAAUUUGGACUACGAAUACGAGUCUGAGAACGACCUCGAGUAUGACCCUGAAUGUGGGUCUGCAUGUAGCGACACCGGCUCCUGUAGUUCCUGUGACUGGUCGAGCAAUUGGUCCAGCGAGGAGGGGGACUACAGCGUGGCGGAGUAUGACGAGGGUGAUGAGGGUGACGACUACUGCGUGACGACCGGCGCGUGGUAUGACCAUAUUAGUGUUACCGUCAGUAUUACCGUUAGUGCCGCUGCUGAUGUGUGCCCUGCUACUACUACUACUACUACUACUACUACUACUACUUCUGCUGCUGCUGCUACUGCGGAUUCUGCACUACCUAUUCCUAGCCACUCUAGUUAUAUCUCCUUCACGUACACUAUUCAUACUAGUACUGCUACUGUUCAUACCACUACUGCUACUAAUACCCAAGCUGCUGCUACCUCCACCUCAACUGCUGCUCCAGUCUCUGCUGUGACUUGUACCACCUCUACUACUGUUUCCUAUACCACGUCUACUGUUGUGGCUUCUACUGCUGCUACUCCGGCCACAUCCAUCCCGGCCACGUUCAUCCCUGUCGCGUCCCCGUCCACCAUUCCAGUCACCUCUACUGCUGCAUCUACUACUGCUACCUCUACUACUGAUAUCCCUAUUACUAUCACUACUACAACUCCUACUAGUACCAUUUCUGCCAAACCUACCUCAGCUACAACCACCACCACUACCAACACUCCAACUGCAUCUAAUGAUACUACUACCACCACCACUACCACUACCACUAAUCUCGUGAAUCCUACCUCCACUGCCACCACCUCAAGUACCACCACCGCUGAUACAACCACUACCACCAAUACUAAAGCUGCUAAUGACGCUGCCACUACUACUACUACCACCACCACUACAACAACAACAACAACAACAACAACAACAACAACAACUUCUACUAUGGACAAUACCUCGACAGUGUACUACAGCCUCCCACAUAUCUACCACUGCAGCAUUCUCGAGCCUCCUAAUGUUACUUUCGACACCUCUUUAAUCCUCAGUGAAAUCAGAGAGGAUGACCGGCACUUCCUUCACUUCGGGGACACCUUGCGUGCACCGUAAUGCGAGCAAGGGUGAAGGGUGCAUCCUGACUCCUUUAAUGGGGCGUUUAAUGGUGUUUUAAUGGCGUUUUGUGGUUUUAUUGUGUGAUAUUGUUUGAUUUGGCAUGUCUGUUUGUAGUGGAGUGAGAUGAGGCAUAAUUUUUUUUGUUUUUGAUGAGACGAGGCUUGUGCGUGUUUGGCAAGACGAGGCAUAGCAAAUAUUUGUGUUUGGGUUUGUGUGAUGUGUGUUUUGUGUUGACUUUGUAUUGAAAUGUGGGUUUUUGCUGCAGUGAGAAGUUUAAUGUAUGUUUGAUUGUGUGAUUGUGUUUCUGCUUUAAGUUUUUAUUGGCAUGCGUGUCUUUGGAGUGCAGCGAAGUUUUAGGCGUACAAGUAUUUAGUUUGUAAUGUUUUUUUUUAUAAUAUUUACAUUGGGUUAAUGUAAGACGUCUUUUGUGUGUUUUUCCUGACCAUAUGUAAUGUCUUGACUAGUGAAUUAAAAAGAAAAUGCAGGAA